UGCGGAAGGAUCAUUGUCGAACCU
rnacentral:rRNA from 1 species